CCACGGGGGGCGUGUGCAAAAAUAGAAAAAUGUUACAUGGAGAUAUUAAAAAGGUAGAAUAUUAAAUUAUUUACAUGAUAAGAAGGUUAUUAGAAUAUUUACAGUUACAUCAAUUUACUCUAUGUCAAUUUUGUGAGCAGCGAUUUUAUUUCUAAAGGAUGAAAGAGUUUUGCUUUCCCUAAUUUCCUUUGGAAUAGAAUUCCAAAGGUGUGCUCCGUCAUACAUGAAACUAUUUUUCAUGUUGUUAGUACGCGGUUUUGGUAAACUAAGACCGCUUGAAAUG